CACGCCCUAAACGAUGCGAACUGGACGUUGGGCACACUUAGGUGCUCAGUGUCGAAGCUAACGCGUUAAGUUCGCCGCCUGGGGAGUACGGUCGCAAGACUGAAACUCAAAGGAAUUGACGGGGACCCGCACAAGCGGUGGAUGAUGUGGAUUAAUUCGAUGCAACGCGAAAAACCUUACCUACCCUUGACAUGUCCGGAACCCUGGUGAGAGCUGGGGGUGCCCGAAAGGGAAUCGGAACACAGGUGC
rnacentral:rRNA from 1 species